CCUACGGGAGGCAGCAGUGGGGAAUAUUGGACAAUGGGGGGAACCCUGAUCCAGCCAUGCCGCGUGUGUGAAGAAGGCCCUCGGGUUGUAAAGCACUUUCAGUGAGGAAGAACGCCUGGUGGUUAAUACCCAUCAGGAAAGACAUCACUCACAGAAGAAGCACCAGCUAACUCCGUGCCAGCAGCCGCGGUAAUACGGAGGGUGCGAGCGUUAAUCGGAAUUACUGGGCGUAAAGCGCGCGUAGGUGGCUUGAUAAGCCGGUUGUGAAAGCCCCGGGCUCAACCUGGGAACGGCAUCCGGAACUGUCAAGCUAGAGUGCAGGAGAGGAAGGUAGAAUUCCCGGUGUAGCGGUGAAAUGCGUAGAGAUCGGGAGGAAUACCAGUGGCGAAGGCGGCCUUCUGGACUGACACUGACACUGAGGUGCGAAAGCGUGGGUAGCAAACAGGAUUAGAUACCCUUGUAGUC
rnacentral:rRNA from 1 species